UACGAAGGGGCUAGCGUUGCUCGGAAUGACUGGGCGUAAAGGGCGCGUAGGCGGAUGGCACAGUCAGAUGUGAAAUUCCCGGGCUUAACCUGGGGGCUGCAUUUGAUACGUGUUGUCUAGAGUGAGGAAGAGGGUUGUGGAAUUCCCAGUGUAGAGGUGAAAUUCGUAGAUAUUGGGAAGAACACCGGUGGCGAAGGCGGCAACCUGGUCCUUGACUGACGCUGAGGCGCGAAAGCGUGGGGAGGCAAACAGG
rnacentral:rRNA from 1 species